AAUCUGUGACGGGGAGAGCAAGUGAACGUGCGAGUCGAUCGCCCCCGCGGUGAGGAUCUUCCCCUCACCGGAGAUGACGUCGGUGGACGGUCCGAUGAUCAGCCGAGGGUCGACGCCAUCGGCGAUGUCGGGGUUCCCCGCGCGCCCGACCCCGACGAUCCGGCCGUCGCGGAUGCCGACAUCGGCGCGCACGAUUCCCCACCAGUCGAGGAUGAUCGCGUUCGUGAUCACGGUGUCCAGGGC
rnacentral:sRNA from 1 species